rnacentral:rRNA from 1 species
AUUGAACGCUGGCGGAAUGCUUUACACAUGCAAGUUGAGCGGCAGCGCGGCCUUCGGGCUGGCGGCGAGCGGCGAACGGGUGAGUAAUGCAUCGGAACAUGCCCAGUCGUGGGGGAUAACACUUCGAAAGAAGUGCUAAUACCGCAUACGUCCUGAGGGGGAAAGCGGGGGAUCGCAAGACCUCGCGCGAUUGGAGUGGCCGAUGUCAGAUUAGCUAGUUGGUGGGGUAAAGGCCUACCAAGGCGACGAUCUGUAGCUGGUCUGAGAGGAUGAUCAGCCACACUGGGACUGAGACACGGCCCAGACUCCUACGGGAGGCAGCAGUGGGGAAUUUUGGACAAUGGGGGCAACCCUGAUCCAGCCAUUCCGCGUGAGUGAAGAAGGCCUUCGGGUUGUAAAGCUCUUUCGGCAGGAACGAAACGGUGGGCUCUAACAUAGUCCGCUAAUGACGGUACCUGAAGAAGAAGCACCGGCUAACUACGUG